rnacentral:rRNA from 1 species
UGGGGAAUAACGCAUCGAAAGGUGUGCUAAUACCGCAUAAUCUCUACGGAGAAAAGCAGGGGAUCGCAUGACCUUGCGCUUUUGGAGCGGCCGAUGUCUGAUUAGCUAGUUGGUGAGGUAAAGGCUUACUAAGGCUUCGAUCAGUAGCUGGUCUGAGAGGACGACCAGCCACACUGGGACUGAGACACGGCCCAGACUCCUACGGGAGGCAGCAGUGGGGAAUUCUGGACAAUGGGGGAAACCCUGAUCCAGCCAUGCCGCGCGAGUGAAGAAGGCCUUCGGGUUGUAAAGCUCUUUCAGCCGGAACGAAACGGUCACGGUUAAUACCCGUGAUCACUGACGGUACCGGAAGAAGAAGCACCGGCUAACUACGUGCCAGCAGCCGCGGUAAUACGUAGGGUGCGAGCGUUAAUCGGAAUUACUGGGCGUAAAGCGUGCGCAGGCGGUUUUGUAAGUCAGAUGUGAAAUCCCCGGGCUCAACCUGGGAACUGCGUUUGAAACUACAAGGCUAGAGUGUAGCAGAGGGGGGUGGAAUUCCACGUGUAGCAGUGAAAUGCGUAGAGAUGUGGAGGAACACCGAUGGCGAAGGCAGCCCCCUGGGUUAACACUGACGCUCAGGCACGAAAGCGUGGGGAGCAAACAGGAUUAGAUACCCUGGUAGUCCACGCCCUAAACGAUGUCAACUAGUUGUCGGGUCUUAACGGGCUUGGUAACGCAGCUAACGCGUGAAGUUGACCGCCUGGGGAGUACGGUCGCAAGAUUAAAACUCAAAGGAAUUGACGGGGACCCGCACAAGCGGUGGAUUAUGUGGAUUAAUUCGAUGCAACGCGAAAAACCUUACCUACCCUUGACAUGUACCGAAGUCCGCUGAGAGGUGGAUGUGCCCGAAAGGGAACGGUAACACAGGUGCUGCAUGGCUGUCGUCAGCYCGUGUCGUGAGAUGUUGGGUUAAGUCCCGCAACGAGCGCAACCCUUGUCAUUAAUUGCCAUCAUUCAGUUGGGCACUUUAAUGAGACUGCCGGUGACAAACCGGAGGAAGGUGGGGAUGACGUCAUGUCCUCAUGGCCCUUAUGGGUAGGGCUUCACACGUAAUACAAUCGCG